ensembl:lncRNA
CUUGGAAAAUCCCAUGGAUGGAGGAGCCUGGUAGGCUGUAGUCCAUGGGGUCGCUAAGAGUCGGACACGACUGAGCGACUUCCCUUUCACUUUUCACUUUCAUGCAUUGGAGAAGGAAAUGGCAACCCACUCCAGUGUUCUUGCCUGGAGAAUCCCAGGGACAGGGGAGCCUGGUGGGCUUCCGUCUAUGGGGUCGCACAGAGUCAGACACGACUGAAGCAACUUAGCAGCAAUAGCAGCAGCAUUGACUUUUCUAUUGGCUAAAUAGUUUUGAGGUUAAAUUAUAGUGUUCAUGGUUCUCCAGCCUUUCUAUGAUUUGCAGUGGGGAAGGAAUAACUUUGGCGUUCCUUAGGUGUGACUCUCCAUAACUAAGAAGCUCUAAAUUGCAGUCUCAAGAGCAGUUAGAAAUUCUCAAAAAAAUGUCAUCUGGUCCAGCAGGUUCAUUUUCCUGAAUUGCAUUUCCAAAAGUGGGUGCAGUUUAGGUUAAUGACAGUCUUUGCUCCUGACUCAGCUGCUUGCCUAUUUUCCUGUUCUCUUUGUUGGAAUGACUAUACCUGUCAGGGUUGCACAAUAUGUUCAUGACCCAGUUAAGCCAGGACGAGGUGGUUUAUUUUUUAACUGCCUCUGUGCUAUUCCUGUUAAUCGUAACCCUGCCAAAUGAGCCAGGCCUAGACUGUAUGUUUAGUUCAGGAACUUUGGCAACAGAAACCAUGCUAACCUUUGAAAAUUUGUUGGGAUUCAACAGGGGACUCAUGGAGCCCAAGAACUGGGCCUCAAGAAGAACCAGAACCAGGCUGGAGGGCACCAGCAGCACAAGGAGGGCUGUUUCUCAACCCUGCCUCAUUCUUUCUAGACCAACCGGGCUUCCUGGCCCAAAGAUGGCUGCUCACAGCUCCAACUUCAAGUGUAACUUCCGGAUGUACAGAAUGCUUCUGUCUAGAAAGCUGAGCACCGAAGAAUUGAUGCUUUUGAACUGUGGUGUUGGAGAAGACUCCUGAGAGUCCCUUGGACUGCAAAGAGAUCCAACCAGUCCAUUCUAAAGGAGAUCAGUCCUGGGUGUUCUUUGGAAGGAAUGAUGCUAAAGCUGAAACUCCAGUACUUUGGCUACCUCAUGCGAAGAGUUGACUCAUUGGAAAAGACCCUGAUGCUGGGAGGGAUUGGGGGCAGGAAGAAAAGGGGAUGACAGAGGAUGAGAUGGCUGGAUGGUAUCACCGACUCGAUGGAUGUGAGUUUGAGUGAACUCCGGGAGUUGGUGAUGGACAGGGAGGCCUGGCGUGCUACAAUUCAUGGGGUUGCAAAGAGUCAGACACGACUGAGUGACUGAACUGACUGACUGACUGACAGACAUAGCUGUAGUAAACAUUCUUUGGGUGUCUUUGAAACAUUUCUGAGGAUACAAUUCUAGAAGUAGAAAUGCUGGGUCAAAAUUCUCCUUACACUGAACAUUUCAAAGAUCCCCCAGGGCUUACUUUUAGCCUGCUGCCUCAAGGUGGAAGGCUGGUUAUUCUCAGCUUCUCACUCAGACAUGAAAAUGUAUUGCAGGUCCCAUAUGGCGCAGUGGUAAAGAAUCUGCCGUCAAUGCAGGAGACAUGGGUUCAAUCCGACUGGUGGCAACCCACUCCAGUAUUCUUGCCUGGGAAAUCCCAUGGACAGAGGAGCCUGGUGGGCUUCAGUCUAUGGCUUCUCAAAAGAGUUGGACACGAUUUAGCUACUAAACAACAACGAAGUAUGUAUACACCAAUUGUGACCUUCCAAUCCAUCCCACUCCCUCUUCUCCCCUUGAUAGCCAUAAGUUUGUUCUCUAUGUCUGUUUAUUGUGAUUUUGAUUUCCAUUCCCCUAAUGACUAAUGAUGCUGAG